rnacentral:rRNA from 1 species
UAGGGAAUCUUCCACAAUGGACGCAAGUCUGAUGGAGCAACGCCGCGUGAGUGAAGAAGGGUUUCGGCUCGUAAAGCUCUGUUGUUAAAGAAGAACGUGGGUAAGAGUAACUGUUUACCCAGUGACGGUAUUUAACCAGAAAGCCACGGCUAACUACGNGCAG